rnacentral:rRNA from 1 species
ACCUUUANCUGGUCUUGACAUCCACGGAAGUUUUCAGAGAUGAGAAUGUGCCUUCGGGAACCGUGAGACAGGUGNUGCAUGGCUGUCGUCAGCUCGUGUUGUGAAAUGUUGGGUUAAGUCCCGCAACGAGCGCAACCCUUAUCCUUUGUUGCCAGCGGUCCGGCCGGGAACUCAAAGGAGACUGCCAGUGAUAAACUGGAGGAAGGUGGGGAUGACGUCAAGUCAUCAUGGCCCUUACGACCAGGGCUACACACGUGCUACAAUGGCGCAUACAAAGAGAAGCGACCUCGCGAGAGCAAGCGGACCUCAUAAAGUGCGUCGUAGUCCGGAUUGGAGUCUGCAACUCGACUCCAUGAAGUCGGAAUCGCUAGUAAUCGUGGAUCAGAAUGCCACGGUGAAUACGUUCCCGGGCCUUGUACACACCGCCCGUCACACCAUGGGAGUGGGUUGCAAAAGAAGUAGGUAGCUUAACCUUCGGGAGGGCGCUUACCACUUUGUGAUUCAUGACUGGGGUGAAGUCGUAACAAGGUAGCAAUCACUAGUGAAUUCGCGGCCGCCUGCAGGUCGACCAUAUGGGAGAGCUCCNNA